GUCACCUCCUCACUAGCAUAAUUGGAAAGACUCUAAGGGGCCCCGAAGUGCUGAAGUGCUGUAAAUUAGCAGCGUUCAAUUCUGAUGAACAUUAAAGGGAGUGUGCAGUUAAUUCCUCCGCACAUGCUGAUCGCAAAGUCUUCCCACUGGGGGCUUUUGGCUUGGAGCGUUACAGGGCCAUUUGUUCUGCAUGGCUUCUCCACCAGG
rnacentral:lncRNA from 1 species